ensembl:lncRNA
UGACAAGUUCUGAAUUGCAUGUUGCUAGGAGCCCUGUGGCUGCUUGGUGGUGAGGAGGCUGGAGUUGGCCUCGGGGUGAAGCAGAGAGACCAGCUAAGAGGGCACUGCCCAGCAAUCCUGGUGACAGACAGUGGGCCCUGUGGGUGAAGUCUGUGUGCACUUCUUGUCCUGCAGAGGGAACAAGCAGGACGAGGAGGAGAACCAGGUGUCAGCGUGAAGAAAAUGAGAGCACUGGGGAGAACGAAGGCAGGCUGUUUCCUUCAGGCUUUCUCGGUUGUCCUCUCUUCCUGAAUCCAUCUGUGGUGUCAACCAGUCAUGGAUGCAGGAGACUCUGAAGUUAAGCCCAGCAGCACCACACUGAGCAUCCUGAGGAAGAGACCUGAAUACUUAAAGCCCCAAAACCUUGCCUGCAAAAACAUGGUUCUGCAUAAGACAGGUGAGCUCAGAAUCGUCACUGAGGUCUGGGGCAGUGUGGACUCAGCAGCUGAGGCAGCCUGAAGUCACCGUCCACCUGGAGAGCUGGGUCAGAAGAUGGAGGCAGAGACAAAUAUCCCGUGUCUCUGUUUAGCCUUAUUUCAGGUCAGUGGGUAUGAUUUUACCUGAGGCAUUUGCUUUGAGUCUUUACCAAACACUGUGGAAUCGGAUUACCACUGAUCUAGACAUUCUCAGACAUCACCGGAAGUUCAUGUCCGCGGAGGCGGGCCCAGGGCAGGGGCAGGUGCGGCCAUGGGCGGUACCUGGAGCCUGCGCGGGCUCCGCCCACAAGCCAGUGGCUGCUAGUGCGCAGGCGCCAGAUGGAGUGCACGCAUGGGACAGGGAGGACGCAGAGGCGGUCCUAAGGCCUGCUCGAGGAGGCGGGGUCACAGACUGAGGGGUGGGGCCGGAACCAGAGGGGCGGGGCCGAGGUCCCAAGGCUAGUCUUGGGCGAAAGUCAGGGACCAAGGGAGGAGCCCAGGACGCCUGGCUCUAUAUGUUGAGAGUGGAGCCCGUUUCCGGUGGAGAGGGGAGAGUUCCAGUGCUCUGGAGCUGAAGAGUGUGCCUGGUGCGUGCCCUUCCUGCCCACUACUCACUUGCCCUUCCUAGUUCCUCAGAGGACCCUUGGCCUCUGGAUGCCCCUUGUGUGAGGUUGUGAGAACACAUUUUCCUGCUUAUUCAUGCAUCUCUCAGCCAGACGUUGUUGGCACCCAGGCCACACAUAUCUGCCACAUUAAUAGGAAAGCCCAAAAUAUUAGCCAACAUAAUCCAGAGCUGCAUCUUCAAAGAAUGAUGACUAUGGCCAGGAAAUGUAAAGAAGGUUAAAUGUUAAGAACUCUCUUAAUUUGCUAUUUUAAGAGACCAAAAGAGGAUAAUCAUACAGUCAUCUCCAUAGAUGUUAAAAAGAUAAAAAGAGGGGUUAUAUGAUUUUACCAUAGGAAUUUGCUUUUAGUCUACUAUCAACACCAAAAUCAAAUUACCACUCUGAUCAUUACAUCACUUUCUCUAACAUCAUAAUCACUUAUAUGCACAUAAUGCACCACUUGAUUAGGGCGAUGACACUCACUUCAAUUUCUUUAAUAAUUCGUGUGUUUUAUGAGGUAGUGCUGCAGGUCAGCCCCUCUAGUUGCCCACGACAGCUCGGCCCAAAGACGCUGUGGCUCCUGUUGUUCCCAUUUAAAAUACGUAAUUGAAUAAUGACUUUAGAGUUGGAAUUUUAAGUAGAGCUCUUACUAGGUUUAUCUAUUGUUUAUAUAUUGGAACACUUACGGGAAACUUAGUUUCUCUGAUUUCAUAGGUUUACUCUGUUAAAUAGAAUUAUUUAUUAUUUGUGAAGGGUUUAUUUAUUAAGACUUUGUGUUUUCUUCCUCCCAAAUCUCCUUUCCCUCUCUUCCUUAUUUUGGUAAAUGGCAAUUCUUUCCUUCCUAUUCUUCAAGCCAAACACCUUUGUGUCCUCCUUGACUCCUCUGUUUCCUUCAUGCCCCACAUUAACUCCAUCAGCAAAUCCUCAGCUCUAUGUUCAACAAGAACCUGAAUGUGACCAGGUCAUUGCACCUCCACUGUUACUGCACUUGUCAAACCCUCCAUUACCACUCUCCUGGAUUAUUCUAAUAGGCUCCUAACUAGGCUUUCUACUUCUUCCUUACUCUACGCAGUCACUUCUUGUACACAUCUUUUGUUGAACAUCUGUACACAUUUCUGUCAGCUAAAGAACUUGCUGGGUCACAAGUCAAGGUGAUGUCCAAAGACUACAAAAGCAUGAGUUGAAACCCUCCAAAAAUGUACCCUCCUUCUGUCCCCUAGCACAAGCUCCCUGCCUAAGGAGAGGGAGUGAGAGCACUCUGUUCCUUCUUCUCCAUCACUUGGGAGAAGGGGCUGUGAAGAAAGGGACAUGGUGCCCUCUUUUUCCUGUGGGUCUCAGGAUCCCUCUAGCUGGGAAGAAAAAAGAUUUUUAAAAAGUUUGUUUUCUGUCGUACAAAGAAACAGAAGGAAACUUGAACUUUAAAUUAUCCCAUCUGUCACUUUCCAUUGAUUGAGUCUUGCUCAUUAAGAUAAAUUCCAAGCUAGAAUACAAUUUUUUAUGUUUUGCCUUUUGAGCUCUCCAGAAUGUAUGCCUUUCAGCUACCUCAGUUUCUUUCUUUUUUUUUCAUUCUUUCUUUCUUUUGCUUCCCGCCCCCGCCCCCCCCACAUUGCCAGCUGCCAAGGAGGAAUGGGGCACUCUAUCUCAUGGUGUUUCCCUUCUUAUUUGAGUUCUUCUGCAGUUCAACACCUGACAUCCACCUGCAGAGAUGCCCAAGCAAAGUCAGACACCCCCUUUUCUCUCUCUUGUGUGCCGUGUUGGUACAAGAAGGGUGUGCGGCUUCUCUGGGACAGAAGAGAACCCAAAUUGAGCUCUACUGUUAACUAGCUGUGGGAUCCUGGAGGAGUCGUUUACCCUGAUUCUCAGCUUCCACGUCUGUUGAAGGGGAGAUACUCAUGAAGAGGACAGGAUGGCUAGGUUUUGGUAUCAAGGUUAUGCUGGCCUCAUCAAUGAGGUGAGGAGUGCUCCCUCCUACUCUACUUCCUGAAAGUGAUUAUGUCUAUUGGAAUCAACCAAUCCUUCAGUGUUCGGCAGAACUUACUUGUAAAACCAUCUGAGCUUGUUUACUUUAUCAGAAAUUUUUUAACUAACUGACUCAAUGAUUAGAAGACUAUUAAAGCUUUCUGUUUAUUUCUUGACCUAUUUGAUAAAUUAGAUUUUUCUAGGGAAGUGUUUAUUUUAUCUAAAUAAAUAUAUUCAUCCAGAAAAGUGAAUUGAAUAGCCACUAUAUGUUAUUAGACAUUGUCCUAGGUGCUGGGGAUAAAAUGGUGUACAAGAUGGACACAGUCCCUGAUCAUCGGAAUAUCAUUACAGCGAGGAAUACAAACCAAAAGCUAGUGGUUGGGAGAGGAGAGGCGAUAGAAAUUAAACAAGAUUGGCCGUGAGUUUAUAAAUGUUCAAACUGGGUGAUUGGUACACGGUGGUUCAUUAUACUUUAUAUAUGUUUGAAGUUUUCCAUGAUAAAACGUAAAAAAAGGUAUAUACAUAUACAUAUAUUUAUAUAUAAAGAACUGAAAAGAAUAUACAAAAUGGUCAUAUGUCAGACAUCUUAGAGUAGCAACUUUACAUAUGAUUGUUUUCAAAUUCCUAAACUUCCUAUAUACCAUAUUUCAUCUCUUCUAAGAUACACAUUUUCCCUCCGUGUUUUAACAUCUUUGAAAUCAGGAUAGAUUUUACAAUCAAUGGCAUCAUAAUUUAAAUGAUAGUUUUUUAGUUUUUCUUAGUGAUAUGUAAAACAAUGGCAUGUCUUAUAAUUAAUGGUAUUGAGAUUUGAUGAAAUAUGAUAUUAUGUUACUUUUUAAUUUAAAAAUAUUUAUUGAAAAAUAUAUUUUUUAAAAUGCUUUUUUGGUCAAAAAUCUAACCAAUGGAGUCAAUGAAAGAGUUAAAUAAAGACACCUAUUUUCUUCAUAAUAAAUUCUCAAAGUUAUCCCAAUUUAAGAACCAUGACUGAAUAUCUAUUGUAUAUGACUACUAUAUAUUUCCUUUUUAACAAAAACAACAAAAUAAAUGAUUCAGCUCCUACUAUGAGUUGUGUACUGAUCUUGGCACUGGAGAAUCAGCAGUAAAACAAGCAGGCAAAAAUCUCUGUCCUCAAGAAGCUUACACUCUAUAUAUUCUUCAUAAUAUUUAAAAAUGGUAAGGAUAAUACAUUCUAUGUAAUAAGAGGAAUAGCUAUUUGUAAAUUAGUU